AUGCCGCGUGAGUGAAGAAGGCCUUCGGGUUGUAAAGCUCUUUUGUCAGGGAAGAAACGGGUCUUUCUAAUACAGAGAUCUAAUGACGGUACCUGAAGAAUAAGCACCGGCUAACUACGUGCCACCAGCCGCGGUAAUACGUACGGUGCAAGCGUUAAUCGGAAUUACUGGGCGUAAAGCGUGCGCAGGCGGUUUUGUAAGUUUGUCGUGAAAUCCCCGGGCUCAACCUGGGAAUGGCGAUCAGGACUGCAUGGCUAGAGUUUGGCAGAGGGGGAUAGAAUUCCACGUGUAGCAAUGAAAUGCGUAUAUAUGUGGAGGAACACCGAUGGCCAAGGCACCCCCCUGGGUCUGGACUGACGCUCAUGCACGAAAGCGUGGGGAGCAAACAGGAUUAGAUACCCUGGUAGUCCACGCCCUAAACGAUGUCUACUAUUUGUCGGGUCUUAAUUGGCUUGGUAACGCAGCUAACGCGUGAAGUAGACCACCUGGGGAGUACGGUCGCAAGAUUAAAAAUCAAAGGAAUUGACGGGGACCCGCACAAGCGGUGGGAUGAUGUGGAUUAAUUCGAUGCAACGCUUAAAACCUUACCUACCCUUGACAUGGCUGGAAUCCCCGAGAGAUUG
rnacentral:rRNA from 1 species